rnacentral:rRNA from 1 species
GGGAAUUUUCCGCAAUGGGCGAAAGCCUGACGGAGCAAUACCGCGUGAGGGAGGAAGGCUCUUGGGUUGUAAACCUCAAAACUCAGGGAAGAAGAAAGUGACGGUACCUGAUAUAAGCAUCGGCUAACUCCGUGCCAGCAGCCGCGGUAAUACGGAGGAUGCAAGCGUUAUCCGGAAUCAUUGGGCGUAAAGCGUCCGUAGGUGGCAUUUCAAGUCUGCAUUCAAAGACCGAGGCUCAACCUCGGGCAGGGUGUGGAAACUGAAAAGCUAGAGUACAGGAGGGGUAGAGGGAAUUCCUAGUGCAGCGGUGAAAUGCGUAGAGAUUAGGAAGAACACCAGUGGCGAAGGCGCUCUACUGGACAUGUACUGACACUGAGGGACGAAAGCUAGGGUAGC